CCUACGGGAGGCAGCAGUGAGGAAUAUUGGUCAAUGGACGAGAGUCUGAACCAGCCAAGUAGCGUGAAGGAUGACUGCCCUAUGGGUUGUAAACUUCUUUUAUAAGGGAAUAAAACGAGGCACGUGUGCCGUUUUGCAUGUACUCUAUGAAUAAGGAUCGGCUAACUCCGUGCCAGCAGCCGCGGUAAUACGGAGGAUCCGAGCGUUAUCCGGAUUUAUUGGGUUUAAAGGGAGCGUAGAUGGGUUGUUAAGUCAGUUGUGAAAGUUUGUGGCUCAACCGUCAAAUUGCAAUUGAUACUGGCAGUCUUGAGUACAGUUGAGGUAGGCGGAAUUCGUGGUGUAGCGGUGAAAUGCUUAGAUAUCACGAAGAACCCCGAUUGCGAAGGCAGCUUACUAGACUGUAACUGACACUGAUGCACGAAAGUGUGGGUAUCAAACAGGAUUAGAUACCCUUGUAGUC
rnacentral:rRNA from 1 species